rnacentral:rRNA from 1 species
GCUAUCCCUUAAAGCCAUUCUCAGUUCGGAUUGUAGGCUGAAACUCGCCUACAUGAAGCUGGAGUUACUAGUAAUCGCAGAUCAGAAUGCUGCGGUGAAUGCGUUCCCGGGUCUUGUACACACCGCCCGUCACACCACGGAGGUUGGGGGCGCCCGAAGCCACUUAGCUAACCCUUUUGGGAAGCGAGUGUCGAAGGUGAAAUCAAUAACUGGGGUGAAGUCGUAACAAGGUAAC